AGGCCUAUCCCUUUAAUUAGAUUCCAUUUAAGAAACUACAUGCAAAAGAUUUUGUUGCAGAAGCUGUUUGCUAAGUCUUUGAGGUGCCCAAGUUGCUACAGUAUUUGGGCUCAAGGUUGCUUGAUUGACAGACAGUUAACAAGCAGCCUGGAAAGGCACGUGGGCUUUCGCGCGGGAAAAAGCCGUCGCAUUUGCAUCACACGGUGGGCGGAGCCACACGCCUAUAAAAGCCUCGUGGUCGCUGUCUCAUGGUCAUCAUCCGGAAGUCGAAAGGCUUAAAUUGGCUGGUGCUGGGAUUGCUAUCGGUAAAUGGACAGCAAUGGGUUGGGAAGAGACAGAGGACCGCUCUAUCCCCUGCAAAGGUAUUUCGGCACAGGCUGCUGAGGUAACUGCUUUGCUGGAGGCACUUAAGCUUCUCCCGUCAGACAUAAAGGAGGUCAUUGUUAAUGAUUCAGCCUAUACCUGUCAGCCUACACUGAUGACUUAACUAAGUGGCUGCGGAAAAUUGAUGAACCAUUAGGAGAAACGCUUAAUCCAGAAGCAAUAUUGGCAACAGAUCUGGGACGAGAAUAAACAAAACAAUUAAUCCAAGUUUGUCAAACCCCUGGAUACCAAAAGAUGGUGUACACAAUAUUGUCAAUAGCCGCACAGACCUGCUCGCUCGUUCUGCAUGCUACUUGAACGAGCCACCACAGGCUGCCAAGGUAUCAGUGAAGGGGCGGUAAACUGUGAUUUUACUUCUGUCUC